ensembl:lncRNA
GUUGUUCUGUGAAUAGGUUGCCUUCCUCAUUCUGCCUAGACUCUGACACUAUAUGCCAGCGCACCAACCCUUUGCCCUUUUCCUGAGCCCACAUCUGCAUGGAGUCAUCCAUUCAUCAUUGGGACAGAGGUCACUGUUCCAGUCAGGCAACAUAGCAUCUUGCCUGGGGUUUGCAGAGAAAAGCCAGACCAGGAGGAGCAGAGUCAGCAGGACUCAACUACCAACCAUGACAGGGGAAGUAGUAAGUAGUCUUGGUGAUUGUGAUGCUACUGCAUGCCAAAGUUCAUCAACAGACUGCCAGCAAAAGGGUGCCAAUUGCCAUCCUAUUGAGUCUAAAAUAAAAACCUCUAUAUGAACAAGAAGCAAUGGCGUGCUGGUGGUUUAGUUACUACGUCAUGUCCAACUCUUGAGACACCAUGGACUGCAGCCUGCCAGGCUCCUCUGUCC